rnacentral:misc_RNA from 1 species
AAAUACUCCUCACAAAACUGAGAUUCAUACUGAAGUAUACAGCAAAAACUUGAUAUGCAUACAAUAUACCUAACAAUCUAUUGUAAAAACUUGUACAGUUAAAGAUGGUGAGCAUUAAUUACUAUAUAAACCAAAAAUUAAAGUGAAGAUCGCAACAAUGAAAUUGAUAUUUCAAUAAUUAGAAGAUGAUGGCAAGUGAAAACUUACAAAUGGGCAAUGAUGAUCCAUGUCCAGAACACAUUUUCUACAAGAACGACAAUGAUGAGCUCUAGGUGACUUUGGCUUUGAGCAGUAGUGACAGUAUGUAUAAUUUUCAAGGUCAUCUUUCCCUACAG